rnacentral:rRNA from 1 species
UCAGAUCACGGGCCGCGCCUGUUUCACAAACACAUGUUUUUUUGAAAUAAAUUUAAAGUCUCACCCGCCCACUGAAAUUUUUAAAUGGCCGCAGUAUUCUAACUGUGCAAAGGUAGCAUAAUCAUUAGUCUUUUAAUUGGAGGCUGGAAUGAAUGGUUGGACGAAAUAUUAACUGUUUCAUUUUAAUUUUUUAUAGAAUUUUAUUUUUUAGUCAAAAAGCUAAAAUUUUAUUAAAAGACGAGAAGACCCUAUAAAUCUUUAUAUUUUGUUUAUUUUGAUUUUAAAGAUUAUUUUAAUUUUAAUAAAUAAAAAUAUUUUACGGGGGUGAUAUUAAAAUUUAAAAAGCUUUUAAUUUUUAAACCCAUUAAUUUAUGAAUAAUUGAUCCAUUAAUAAUGAUUAAAAAUUUAAGUUACUUUAGGGAUAACAGCGUAAUUUUUUUGGAGAGUUCAUAUCGAUAAAAAAGAUUGCGACCUCGAUGUUGGAUUAAGUAUAUAAUUUUGGGUGUAGCCGGGGGGAUGUUAAGACUGUUCAACUUUUAAAAACUUACUGGAUC